GGCCCUUGUUCACUAGAAGCAAGGAGCUCCCUGACCCCUUCUUUCAAAACAGAUCUCUUUGUCUUUGUCUUCAUUUCUGCAUUCGUCCCCCCUUUGUUCAAUCCCCUAGCAACCAACAGCGACAAGUGGUGGCCGGGACAGGAACGUGAGCAAAGAAGGUCUGCUGGAGCAGAGAAAGAGAAACUGACAAGACGAACGAGAAACCCUGGAACAAGUCUGCCGGCAGCCAAUAAAAGGGUCACCAUGGUGGGAGCGGAAGACAAUUUCACCAUAAACAGGCAGAGCUCCACAACCCAAGGAAUUCCUGGAACAGAAAUUGGACUCCAUGCCCAAAUCUGCUUUCUAUGGCAUCUGAAGGGAACUAAGAAACUACACACGACCUCCUGGGGAAAGAUGGGUAUAGGGGCUUCAUUUGUUCACUCUGAAAAAAGUUCUACAUCAGAAUGGAAAGACAACAAUUAAGCAUCUAACACAGAACCUGUCAGAUAACAAAAACUUGAUUGCUAUUUAAUGAAUAUGGGCAUGGAUGGAUGAAUUGGCGCUGUCAUUUUCCCUGACAUGUCUCCUUCCUGAGAACAGAGCGUCUCUGUCUCCAAGCCAGCCGCUGUCAUUCCAGUGCCUUAAAGCUCCAGCCACACUCA
ensembl:lncRNA CD300LD-AS1 CD300LD antisense RNA 1